rnacentral:lncRNA from 1 species
UCUGUUCUCUCAUCUCCCUCUCUUUCUCUUUAGUGCCUUCACUGAACCUCGACCCAUCAAGCGUUGCACAAUAAUGUGCCUUCACUAACAAGAAGAGCUUCAAGAUAGGCAAAGAGGAUUAAAAGUUCUGAACUUAUGAUUCUCUGGACAUGAUUUAGACUAACCUUAAUAAAGGCAUGCAAAAUCUAAAGUUUAUACUGCUUUUUCUUCCAUCAAUUUGCAGAUUAUAUAUGUUCUUUCUCUCAUCUCCCUCUCUUUCUCUUUAGUGCCUUCACCGAACCUAGACCCAUCAAGCGUUGCACAAUAAUGUGCCUUCACUAACAAGAAGAGCUUCAAGAUAGGCACAGAGGAUUAAAGUUCUGAAUUUAUGAUUCUCGGGACAUGAUUUGGACUAACCUUAAUAAAGGCAUGCAGAAUCUGAAGUUUAUAUUGCUUUUUCUUCCAUCAAUUUGCAAAUUAUAUAUGUUAUUUCUUUCAUCUCCCUCUCUUUCUCUUUAGUGCCUCCACCGAACCUCGACCCAUCAAGCGUUGCACAAGGAUGUGCCUUCGCUAACAAGAAGAGCUUCAAGAUAGGUACAGAGGAUUAAAAGUUCUGAAGUUAUGAUUCUCGGGACAUGAUUUAGACUAACCUUAGUUAAGGCAUGCAGAAUCUGAAGUUUAUACUGCUUUUUCUUCCAUCAAUUUGCAGAUUACUGAGAGUUUCAUGUGCUGCCCAUCCAUACAACUUAGUUUCCCAAUCGGACGUCACUAGAAAAGUCUUAUAAAAGACAAUUUAUCCCCAUCAAUAGGCAGAUCAUUGAGUUUUAAAGCAGAAACUGAAUUUAUCAUUAGAAAAGUCUUAAGAAAGGCAGAUCUUUGCAGAAAGUUGAAGUUAAUAUUAUGCUGCCCAGCCAGCAAUAUAUAAGAUAAUUGCAGAGAUUCAACUAUCCAACAUAUGAACAUAAUGUGACAAGCUUUACUCAGGGAGGUAUAUAUCUCUGUUUCAAUCACACCUUGUUUGUUUUACUUAGUUAGGCAACAUAGCGACACCUGAAUUUCUCAUUAGCCAAGUCUUCUAAAAGACAAUUUAUCUCCAUCAAUAAGCAGA